UACGUAGGGUCCGAGCGUUGUCCGGAAUUAUUGGGCGUAAAGGGCUCGUAGGCGGUUUGUCGCGUCUGCUGUGAAAACUCGGGGCUUAACCCCGGGCCUGCAGUGGGUACGGGCAGACUAGAGUGCGGUAGGGGAGACUGGAAUUCCUGGUGUAGCGGUGAAAUGCGCAGAUAUCAGGAGGAACACCGAUGGCGAAGGCAGGUCUCUGGGCCAUAACUGACGCUGAGAAGCGAAAGCAUGGGGAGCGAACAGG
rnacentral:rRNA from 1 species